rnacentral:rRNA from 1 species
UACGAAGGGGGCUAGCGUUGUUCGGAAUCACUGGGCGUAAAGGGCGCGUAGGCGGCUUUAUAAGUCGGGGGUGAAAGCCUGUGGCUCAACCACAGAAUUGCCUUCGAUACUGUAGAGCUUGAGACCGGAAGAGGUAAGUGGAACUGCGAGUGUAGAGGUGAAAUUCGUAGAUAUUCGCAAGAACACCAGUGGCGAAGGCGGCUUACUGGGCCGGUCCUGACGCUGAGACGCGAAAGCGUGGGGAGCAAACAGG